rnacentral:rRNA from 1 species
GACGAACGCUGGCGGCGUGCUUAAUACAUGCAAGUCGAACGGAACGAGUCCGUUAGUUUACUAUUGGGAAAGGUUAGUGGCGGACGGGUGAGUAACGCGUGGGCAGUCUGCGCAUAAGUCCGGGAUAACAGAGCGAAAGUUCUGCUAAGACUGGAUACUAUUAACCAGCCGCAUGGUUGGUAAAGGAUAGGGACCGCUUAGGGAGGAGCCCGCGUCCCAUUCGCAGUUUGGUGGGGUAAGGGCCCACCAAGGCAACGAUGGGUAGUCGGCCUGGGAGGGUGGACCCCCACUCUGGGGCUGGGACACGGCCCGGACUCCUACGGGAGGCAGCAGUAGGGAAUUUUCGACAAUGGGCGGAGGCCUGACCGAGCAACGCCGCGUGAGGGACGAAGGUCUUCGGAUCGUAGACCUGUGUCAUCGAGGACGAUAAUGACGGUACUCUAGGAGUAAGCCCCGGCUAACUACGUG